rnacentral:rRNA from 1 species
GAUAAACGCUGGCGGCGUGCAUGAGACAUGCAAGUCGAACGAGUGACUCGGGCUUGCCUGGGUCGCUAGUGGCGGACGGCUGAGUAACGCGUAGGUGACCUGCCCCGAAGUGGGGAAUAACUGCCCGAAAGGGUGGCUAAUACCGCAUGUGGUGGAACGUUCGCUCGUUCCAUCAAAGCCGCAAGGCGCUUCGGGAGGGGCCUGCGUCCGAUUAGCUCGUUGGUGGGGUAACGGCUCACCAAGGCGACGAUCGGUAGGUGGUCUGAGAGGACGAUCACCCAGACUGGGACUGAGACACGGCCCAGACUCCUACGGGAGGCAGCAGUCGGGAAUUUUGCGCAAUGGACGAAAGUCUGACGCAGCAACGCCGCGUGAGGGAUGAAGGCCU